rnacentral:rRNA from 1 species
GCGUUGUUCGGAAUUACUGGGCGUAAAGGGCGCGUAGGCGGCCUUCUAAGUCAGACGUGAAAUCCCCGGGCUCAACCCGGGAACUGCGUCUGAUACUGGAGGGCUUGAAUCCGGGAGAGGGAUGUGGAAUUCCAGGUGUAGCGGUGAAAUGCGUAGAUAUCUGGAGGAACACCGGUGGCGAAGGCGGCAUCCUGGACCGACACUGACGCUGAGGAGCGAAAGCCAGGGGAGCAAACGGG